rnacentral:rRNA from 1 species
UUUUACAAUGGAGAGUUUGAUCCUGGCUCAGGAUGAACGCUAGCUACAGGCUUAACACAUGCAAGUCGAGGGGAAACGAUAUUGGAAGCUUGCUUCCGAUAGGCGUCGACCGGCGCACGGGUGAGUAACGCGUAUCCAACCUGCCCACCACUUGGGGAUAACCUUGCGAAAGUAAGACUAAUACCCAAUGAUAUCUCUAGAAGACAUCUGAAAGAGAUUAAAGAUUUAUCGGUGAUGGAUGGGGAUGCGUCUGAUUAGCUUGUUGGCGGGGUAACGGCCCACCAAGGCAACGAUCAGUAGGGGUUCUGAGAGGAAGGUCCCCCACAUUGGAACUGAGACACGGUCCAAACUCCUACGGGAGGCAGCAGUGAGGAAUAUUGGUCAAUGGACGAGAGUCUGAACCAGCCAAGUAGCGUGCAGGAAGACGGCCCUAUGGGUUGUAAACUGCUUUUAUAAGGGAAUAAAGU